UUUGACAUUAAUUGACACAUCUGAGACAUUCUAUAAUAUUGUUGCAUGCUGCCUAGUUAAUUUUAGUAGUAAGAUUGAAUUGAUUUGAUUUCUGAUUUAGAAACAGCCUUUGCUGCACAAUAGGUUUACUAUUGUUUGCUGCCAAUGAUGAUUCUGUCUGCAAAAUGUAUGCUCUGUGGAUUCAAGCCCCUGUUUCAGGGAGAACCUCUUGAUGAAGCAGAUGUUAUUUGACAUUAAUUGACAAAUCUGAGACAUUGUUGAAUAUUGUUUCAUGCUGCCUAGUUAAUUUUAGUAGUACGAUUGUAUUGAUUUGAUUUCUGGUUUAGAAACAGUCUUUUGCUGCAUGAUAGCUUGAUUAUUGUUUGCUUAAGUUCUGCCAUUGAUGAUUCUGUCUGCAAAAUGUAUGGUCUGUGGAUUCAAGCCCCUGUUUCAGGGAGAACCUCUUGAUGAAGCAGAUAUAAUGUGACAUCAAUUGACAGCUCUGAGGCAAUUUAUAGCAUUGUUCUGCUUACUGCCUUGUCAUUUUAGUAGGUAGGAUGUAUUGAGGUGACUUUUGAUUUUGCAACUGUCUCUUUUACUUGAUACCUUAACCGUUGU
rnacentral:lncRNA from 1 species